CCCUUAGAUGUUCUGGGCCGCACGCGUGCUACACUGAGUGGAUCAGCGGGUCAGGUUGCGCGAAAGUGUUUCCUAAUCUUGAAAUCCGCUCGUGAUGGGGAUUGACGGUUGCAAUUUUCCGUCAUGAACGAGGAAUACCUUGUAAGCGCGGGUCAUCAUCCCGCGCUGAAUACGUCCCUGCCCUUUGUACACACCGCCCGUCGCUCCUACCGAUUGAGUGGUCCGGUGAGGCUUUGGGAUCUGGGCGGAAAGAGCGUUUCGCUGUUUCUGCUCGGAAAGCUCAGUCGAACCUUAUCAUUUAGAGGAAGGAGAAGUCGUAACA
rnacentral:rRNA from 1 species